rnacentral:lncRNA from 1 species
GGCCUUUCAAGGCAGGAAUUAAGAGAUGAAAAUACAGAAAUACAGGCGGCUAGAACUUCCAGAGAAAAAUCUGAAAAAAAAAUCAAAAUAGUUGAAAACAAAAAAAAAAGUUACUGUUCCAUCGCAUUUCAUUCUACAAUUUUACGCGACUUGCAGAUUUUUGAAGAUUUUCUAGUGAUCUGGUGUGGGAAUGAAAUAGAUUUGGUUGUUUGAAGUUUGGUUGUGAAGUCGCUUGGUUAUUGCUCAAUUGAGAAAAUUUCUCUUGCUUUAUAUUCAUUUUCCUGGGUUGAAUUGGUGUUGCUGGUGCCAUUUUUUGCUGCUGCGAAUUGCUAAUUUAUCAUUCCUUUUUGGCUUUGUUUGUUUUGUUGUUGUAACCACGUAUUCCCCAUCACUUUGGCAUAUGAAAAGGAAGAAGAUGAAGUUACUUGAAUGAGUUUUGUAAUUUGUGUCAAAAUACUUAGUUAAAUGUGGAGUUUUUUUAUCUUUGAAAGUUGUCAGGCUCUGCUGUAAAUUUGGUUUGGUUUGAUACAUUUGAUUGUUCUUCUCUUUUAGCUUUAAUUUUGGUUUGUUAUGAUAAAUAACUUGUAGGCUUGGCCAACUAGUCAAUGAAUCUAGGUUUGGUGUUUGUACAAAGGAUUUAGGUUUGUUUUGGUUAGGCUAAAACCAAUGCAUUUUUGUUGAAAUCUGCCUGGAUCUGUUAAAAUACGAGGCUUAGGGUGGAAAUCAGAACUUUUAAAUAGGAUGUACAUAUUAGUGGUGG